rnacentral:rRNA from 1 species
GAUGAACGCUGGCGGCGUGCCUAAUACAUGCAAGUCGAGCGAACGGACGAGAAGCUUGCUUCUCUGAUGUUAGCGGCGGACGGGUGAGUAACACGUGGAUAACCUACCUAUAAGACUGGGAUAACUUCGGGAAAUCGGAGCUAAUACCGGAUAAUAUUUUGAACCGCAUGGUUCAAAAGUGAAAGACGGUCUUGCCGUCACUUAUAGAUGGAUCCGCGCUGCAUUAGCUAGUUGGUAAGGUAACGGCUUACCAAGGCAACGAUGCAUAGCCGACCUGAGAGGGUGAUCGGCCACACUGGAACUGAGACACGGUCCAGACUCCUACGGGAGGCAGCAGUAGGGAAUCUUCCGCAAUGGGCGAAAGCCUGACGGAGCAACGCCGCGUGAGUGAUGAAGGUCUUCGGAUCGUAAAACUCUGUUAUUAGGGAAGAACAUAUGUGUAAGUAACUGUGCACAUCUUGACGGUACCUAAUCAGAAAGCCACGGCUAACUACGUG